rnacentral:lncRNA from 1 species
CAGCAGUAGCCUUUUUAAAAAUGUUGCCUCCGCGAUGGGCGGGCAGGCUUCGUGUUGCUCUCUUUGGAAGUAAUGGCUCAAGGUUGUGCCUGGCUACGCUCACACUGUUGGGCAAAAGCACAGACAGAUACGCUCCAUUUCCAAGCAUGUGGGAGCUGAGUUCCAUCUCUUUCAGUGACUGUAGAAGCUGUGUGUGGAACGCGGUAGAGCCACAGGAUGGAAAGGAAUGCUCAACUGGUAAGGGAAAAGCGCCUCAAAUGAGCAUGGGCACAACUUCAGUAAACACACCACGCAUGUGACCUCUGUGCAUGUGGACAGCCCCCGAGGGAAAAAUCGAGGGAGGAGAAAUGGAAACCCCAGAAUCAUGCCAAUGUAUAAAACUGCAAGUCAAGGGUUGGACAGAGGAUUUGGGUCUCUCAAGUUGCCUGCUUGUCCCUCUUCCAAGUGUACUUUACUUCCUUUUGUUCCUGCUCUAGAACUUUUUAAUAAACAUUCACUCCUCCUCU